UGGGGAAUAUUGGACAAUGGGGGCAACCCUGAUCCAGCAAUGCCGCGUGUGUGAAGAAGGUCUUCGGAUUGUAAAGCACUUUCGACGGGGACGAUGAUGACGGUACCCGUAGAAGAAGCCCCGGCUAACUUCGUGCCAGCAGCCGCGGUAAUACGAAGGGGGCUAGCGUUGCUCGGAAUGACUGGGCGUAAAGGGCGUGUAGGCGGUUUACACAGUCAGAUGUGAAAUCCCCGGGCUUAACCUGGGAGCUGCAUUUGAUACGUGUAGACUAGAGUGUGAGAGAGGGUUGUGGAAUUCCCAGUGUAGAGGUGAAAUUCGUAGAUAUUGGGAAGAACACCGGUGGCGAAGGCGGCAACCUGGCUCAUGACUGACGCUGAGGCGCGAAAAGCGUGGGGAGCAAACAGGAU
rnacentral:rRNA from 1 species